UGAGCUUGAUCCUGGCUCAGGAUGAACGCUAGCGGCAGGCUUAACACAUGCAAGUCGAGGGGUAUAAGUCUUCGGAUUUAGAGACCGGCGCACGGGUGCGUAACGCGUAUGCAAUCUACCUUUUACAGAGGGAUAGCCCAGAGAAAUUUGGAUUAAUACCUCAUAGCAUAGCAGCUUCGCAUGAAGCCACUAUUAAAGUCACAACGGUAAAAGAUGAGCAUGCGUCCCAUUAGCUAGUUGGUAAGGUAACGGCUUACCAAGGCUACGAUGGGUAGGGGUCCUGAGAGGGAGAUCCCCCACACUGGUACUGAGACACGGACCAGACUCCUACGGGAGGCAGCAGUGAGGAAUAUUGGACAAUGGGCGCAAGCCUGAUCCAGCCAUGCCGCGUGCAGGAUGACGGUCCUAUGGAUUGUAAACUGCUUUUAUACGAGAAGAAACACUCCUUCGUGAAGGAGCUGACGGUAUCGU
rnacentral:rRNA from 1 species